AUCGCUUCUCGGCCUUUUGGCUAAGAUCAAGUGUAGUAUCUGUUCUUAUCAGUUUAAUAUCUGAUACGUCCCCUAUCUGGGGACCAUAUAUUAAAUGGAUUUUUGGGACAGGGAGAUGGAAGAAGAGCUUGCUCUGUCCACUCCACGCAUUGACCUGGUAUUGCAGUACCUCCAGGACCGGUGCACCUCUC
rnacentral:snRNA from 1 species